UACGUAGGGGGCAAGCGUUGUUCGGAAUUACUGGGCGUAAAGGGCGCGUAGGCGGCAUGGCAAGUCAGGAGUGAAAGGCCUGGGCUCAACCGAGGAACUGCUUUUGAUACUGCCAAGCUAGAGUGCGGAAGGGGCAACUGGAAUUCCCAGUGUAGCGGUGAAAUGCGUAGAUAUUGGGAAGAACACCUGAGGCGAAGGCGGGUUGCUGGGCCGACACUGACGCUGAGGCGCGAAAGCCAGGGGAGCAAACGGGG
rnacentral:rRNA from 1 species